UUUGCUUUUUGUUAGUCUAUGUGACCUAUGUGUUAAAUAGUGCCCCAAAAAAUUGAGGUUUUUUUUCUCAAACUAGACAAUGCAAUAGGCUAUUUUGUAGCGAACUUCGUACAUGUGUAUUGCCAUAGCAACAAAAUAUAUGUUUGACAGAGUAAAGUUGUCUACAUUUAAACAGAGUAAACAUAGCAAUAAGACAUAUAUUGGAAUGGUAUACAUUAAAUCAAUUUAUUUGUCUUUUUACAGCUAUGUAUCUAAGUAAGGAUGAAAUUGUUACAAAUUACAGAAAAGCAAACAAGAACAAGAACUUAUUUGAUGCCUAUGUGUUUGGCCCAGUUUUAAUGUAGUUAUAAUAACUUUAAAUGUCAAUUAUGGUUAUUAGCUUUUAGCCCAUUAAGCGCCAGCGAUCUGACAAAUAAAAUUGUGUGGCUUUAGACAGAGAAAAAUAAUAAAGUAUGACAAAUAAGGGCCAGAAGGAAUAUAAGUGUACAGCAAUACACUUGCACCAGCAAUACAGCAAUACAUUUACUAGUGUAUUUGGCACAAAUGUCUGGCUCAUUUCAUACAGGCAUCAGGGCGUAUGCGACAGGGUGUUAGUCAGGAUUUUGAAAGUGGCCGUCCAAAAUAAUUUUGUGGGCGUGGCAACAUAUUUUUGUAGGCGUGGUCACAUGUUUUUGGGCGUGGCCGCAAUUUUCUGUUGUUGAGGAAUUGUGUGUUUUAUUCGUUGAACCUUUUUACCUUUUAGAUGCACAUUUUUGUCAUUAAAUUAGUAAAAGCACACAUAUGGUAUGAUCACUACAGUAACUGUAACGUGGCGCUCGAGUGAUAAAGCGAUUGCUGUUUUUUAAAACAGCGGUUUCACAUUGUUCUUAUUGAUACUUCAUGCGAGAAUCAUAAAAAUGGUUACGAAAACAUGGCGCGUUUUACAAAAAUAUGGUGCAAAGUAUUCAAGAAAUAUUACAAAGCUUGUAGGUUGCUAUUUACAGAAAAUAUUCCCUUAGGCCGUCCAUUAAAAUUUAGCCAUCCAAAUUCAGAAGUGGCCGUCCAUAGGACGGUCGGACGGCCGCCUGGUUAACACCCUGGUAUGCGACUCAAUGGGUUAACUAGACACAUACUGUAGGCAGAUAGGCUAGUUAUAACCCAUUCAGCCCCAGAAUUCGUCCCUUGACAAGUAAAAUUAGGCGUUUGACAGAUUAAAAUAGUCUGGAGUUAGAGAGAAUAAAAUAGUCUGGCGUUAGCUAUAGUAAAAUAGUCUGGCAUUAGACAGAGUAAAAGAAUAAAGUAGGGUGCAUCAUAUAUAUUUUUUUGCAUGGAGGUAGAACAAUAAAUUUGGCACUUGUGUUUGUUUUAUAAUUGAUUGCAAUGGUUUUCUUUAGGUUAUGUUGUUUUGUCCCACUUUAGUAUUUUUCUCUGUCUAACGUCACAUGAUGUUACUUGUCAAUUGGAGAGUAUGCCACUCAAUGGGUUAAUCAAUAGGUGAAAACUAUAAUUGAUCUGUAAUGUUUAGUAUAACCAAUUUCUGG